ACCAGGAGGGAUGCAGUAGGGAAGGCAAAACGGUGAUGGUGGCAGGAAUGCAAGGGGAUGCUGGAGGAGGAGGCUCGCUGGCUUUGUCUUGAUGUCGGAGCCCAGACUCAGAUGUAGAGGCCCUCACUUCUUCCCUGAAAGGGUCCAGUGCUUUUAUCAAGAAGGAGAUUAGAAAAGGAGAGAGGAAUUUUUUUUCCAAAUGAAAUAAUAUAGAGGCCAUACUUGGAAAGAGGGAAAGAUACUGUAAUCUUGGAGGUGGGAUUCUGCAGGGGAGCUCCAAUAGAAAUACUGUAGUCCAAUAUAAAAACGAAGACAUAAAUAAUUAAGCAGAAUGGACACCAGGACUCUGGCCUCUUGGUUAUCAGUGGUCUUCACCGACCUCCCAAGGAAUUAAGUGCUUGGAGCCUUAGACCAGGGCCCACGGUUUUGGAACUCUCUAGUGUCCUUUAUUAAAACAUUAACUAAGGACUUAACCUAAGAUCACUCUCCAUGAUCUUUGCCUUUCAAAGGAGAAAGUUGAAGCUCAGAUGACCAUGUACACAGGAGAAAAACCAGAAACAGCACUCAGAAGCAAGACCCCCACAUCUGAUAUCUUGAUGUUGCCCACUAGUAAGAAAAAGCACAUGGUACUUAUUGGACUCAGCUUUCUCUCCUUCAGUUUCAAAAUCUGCAUAAAAUAAAACUACCUGCAUCCAAA